rnacentral:lncRNA from 1 species
GUGGGGAAGGUGUGGGCAUGGAGAGAGACACGAACACGACCCCAUCUCUUUCUCUGUCCCAACAGCAACAGUCCCUUUGCACAGGCCUUCUUUUAGCUAGGGCAUGGGGUUUACACUAGUUUUUUUCUCUGAACUCUGGCUUCCUUCCGUGCAUGUGUGAUUGAUGCGUGCAGAGCUACAUAUUCUUUUUUGAAACCGAGAGCUAGCUACAUAUUCUGAUGCUGCUCAUAGCCUACCAUGUAACCACUGCCUGGUGGCGUGCAUGUCAUGUGAAAGUACGUACACACUACAGUUUCCCUUAGUU